rnacentral:rRNA from 1 species
CGCGAAACCGUUGGGAGGGAAGCGCACGGCGGCGAGCCGUGUCCGCGGUGGAACUCAGCAUGGCGUGCUUGCACCUCGGGUGCCGUGGCGCCUGCUCCGGCGAGUCUUCUCGACCGAGGUCAGAGGAGCGUCGGCGGCAGGAGAGCUGCGGUGCUGCCUGCGCACUUUCCGCCCGGACUCGUCAGCGAGGAUCGCCUCGGGCCCCAAGAGCGAGAGGGUAGGUGAUCCGGCGAGGCUUCGGCCUUGCCGGGAGCUUAUAGCCUGUCGUUGUGGCUGCGGCCGCGGCCCGAGCGUCGAUCGAGGAGUGUUGCGAGCUUUGUUCGCCGGAGAGGUCAGGUCGGCAAGGGGGAGCGUUUGCUGUCCUGUCGGCCUGGCUCCGACGCUGGCGUCGAGUCGCUGCCGUGCGACCCGUCUUGAAA